AGGGUUUGAUCAUGGCUCAGAACGUACGCUGGCGGCACGCCUAACACAUGCAAGUCGAACGAAGUAGCAAUACUUAGUGGCAGACGGGUGAGUAACAUGUAGGUAUCUGCCCUUUGGCCUGGAAUAACACGAGGAAACUUGUGCUAAUACCGGAUAAGUCUUUACGGAGAAAGCUUUAUGCACCAUUGGAUGAGCCUGCACUUGAUUAGUUUGUUGGUGGGGUAAUGGCCUACCAAGACUGUGAUCAAUAGCUGAUUUGAGAGGAUGAUCAGCCACAUUGGGACUGAGACACGGCCCAAACUCCUACGGGAGGCAGCAGUGGGGAAUCUUGCACAAUGGAGGAAACUCUGAUGCAGCGAUGCCGCGUGAGUGAAGAAGGCCCUUGGGUUGUAAAGCUCUCUCGUCGGGGAAGAAAAUGACUGUACCCGAAUAAGAAGGUCCGGCUAACUUCGUGCCAGCCGCCGCGGUAAUUC
rnacentral:rRNA from 1 species